rnacentral:rRNA from 1 species
CAGUAGCCACGGUAAUACAGAGGGUGCGAGCGUUAAUCGGAUUUACUGGGCGUAAAGCGUGCGUAGGCGGCUAAUUGAGUCGGAUGUGAAAUCCCCGAGCUUAACUUGGGAAUUGCAUUCGAUACUGGUUAGCUAGAGUGUGGGAGAGGAUGGUAGAAUUCCAGGUGUAGCGGUGAAAUGCGUAGAGAUCUGGAGGAAUACCGAUGGCGAAGGCAGCCAUCUGGCCUAAUACUGACGCUGAGGUACGAAAGCAUGGGGAGCAAACAGGAUUAGAUACCCGCGUAGUCCCUGUCUCUUAUAC